rnacentral:rRNA from 1 species
UACGGAGGAUGCAAGCGGUAUCCGGAAUGAUUGGGCGUAAAGCGUCCGCAGGUGGCUGUGUAAGUCUGCUGUCAAAGAGCGAAGCUCAACUUCGUAAAGGCAGUGGAAACUACACGGCUAGAGUGCGUUCGGGGCAGAGGGAAUUCCUGGUGUAGCGGUGAAAUGCGUAGAGAUCAGGAAGAACACCGGUGGCGAAGGCGCUCUGCUAGGCCGCAACUGACACUGAGGGACGAAAGCUAGGGGAGCAAACGGG